GCCGCUGCGGGCGGCUCGGUGUUCGCUGCCAGCCCGAAUGCGCCCAGCCGGGCUCCCGAGCCGCGUUCAAAGGGCAGGCACGGCCCUGGUUUCGGUGUCCCCGCGGUGGCGGAGGGUUCGUGACGCGCUCCACGUGUCGCGGGAGGUCUCCCCGAUGAGUAGCUUUAAUUGCAGUUUGCGUAAUUAAAAAGCAAAGCCUCUUCUCAAGCUGACUCCGCAGUAAAACACUUGGCUCGCUUCGCAGAAUUAGCCAGCCAUGGUGCUCACAAGCGUGGGAAGGAUGGUUGGCCUCCAGAAGAAGGCGUCGGGCAUCAGGAAUAUCUGUAUAUUGGCCCACGUGGAUCACGGCAAAACUACUCUAGCUGAUUGCCUUAUAUCUAGCAAUGGAAUAAUCUCCAGCCGCUUGGCAGGAAAGCUGAGAUACCUCGACAGUAGGGAAGAUGAGCAGAUCCGAGGAAUAACAAUGAAAUCUAGUGCAAUUUCACUGCACUUUGUGAAAGGUGAUCAGGAGUAUCUGAUUAAUUUAAUAGACUCCCCAGGGCACGUGGAUUUUUCUUCAGAAGUAUCUACUGCUGUCCGACUCUGUGAUGGUUGCAUCAUAGUGGUGGAUGCUGUUGAAGGAGUCUGUCCACAGACUCAAGCAGUCCUGCGGCAGGCAUGGCUGGAAAAUAUCCGUCCAGUCCUGGUGAUUAACAAAAUCGACCGCUUGAUUGUGGAGCUGAAGCUCACCCCUCAGGAAGCAUAUCUGCACCUUAAGAAUAUCUUAGAACAGAUCAAUGCAGUCACUGGAACACUUUUUACGUCUAAAGUAUUAGAAGAAAGAGCUGAAAAAGAAACAGAAAAUGAAAGUGUUUCAGACAUGUCACCAGGGGAUCAAGUUUAUGACUGGAGUACUGGAUUGGAAGACACUGAUGAUUCACAUCUCUAUUUUUCACCAGAACAUGGAAAUGUGGUGUUUGCCAGUGCAAUUGAUGGCUGGGGUUUUGGAAUUGAACAUUUUGCCAAACUGUACAGCCAAAAAAUUGGAAUCAAGCCUGCAGUACUUCUGAAGACUUUAUGGGGAGAUUAUUAUCUAAAUACAAAAGCAAAGAAGAUAAUGAAAGGUGAUCAGUCAAAAGGAAAGAAACCUUUGUUUGUGCAGCUGGUGCUGGACAACAUUUGGAGUCUGUACGAGGCUGUUAUGAAAAGAGACAAAGAAAAAAUAGAAAAGAUAGUCACCUCUUUGGGAUUGAGAAUUGGUGCCCGGGAGUCACGGCAUGCAGACCCAAAAGUUCAUCUAAAUGCCAUUUGUAGCCAGUGGCUACCAAUAUCUGAUGCAGUUCUCUCCAUGGUGUGUAAUAAAAUUCCCAGUCCUCUGGACAUCACAGCAGAGAGAGUAGAAAAGCUGAUGUGUGUUGGAGCAAGAACAUUUGAUUCUUUGCCUCCAGAAACUCAGGAACUGAAAAGUGCUUUUAUGAAGUGCAGUAGUGAAGGAACAGCCCCAGUUAUUGUCUUUGUUUCCAAAAUGUUUCCUGUUGAUGCAAAGGCAUUGCCACAGAAUAAACCACGGCCAUUAACUCAAGAAGAAAUUGCUCAUCGGCGUGAACUUGCCAAACGAAGGCAUGCAGAAAAAUUGGCAGCAAGUCAAGGGAAGGAGCUGUCAGAAAAGCCCCCAAGUGAAAACUCACCUGAAGUAACUGGGAACACUGGUGAUACAAAAGGUGAAGAGCAGCAGCUCACUGGUCAAGGAGAUAGCAUGACCUCAAAGGCAGCGAAACAGGAAGCAGACAAGGAGUAUUUCAUUGCUUUUGCCAGAGUGUUCAGUGGUGUCGUGAAAAGAGGGCAAAAAAUCUUUGUUUUAGGACCAAAAUAUGAUCCUGCUGAGUCUUUGCAUAAGCUGUCAUCCCAGUGCUCUGCCACAGAUGACCUGCCAGCAGUCCCUCAUAUGACGUGCUGCACUUUGGAGAACCUCUACUUACUUAUGGGGAGAGAGCUUGAAGAUCUUGAGGAAGUGCCUGCAGGAAAUGUUCUGGGAAUAGGAGGCCUGCAGGAUUUUGUGCUGAAAUCUGCAACACUGUCGACAUCACCUGCUUGUCCACCAUUUACACCUCUCAACUUUGAAGCUACCCCGAUCGUGCGAGUAGCUGUCGAACCAAAACAUCCAAGUGAUAUGCCUCAGCUGGUCAGAGGGAUGAAGCUUUUAAACCAAGCUGAUCCAUGUGUGCAAGUUUUAAUCCAGGAGACAGGAGAACAUGUGCUGGUGACAGCAGGAGAAGUUCAUCUUCAGCGCUGCUUGGACGACCUGAAAGAAAGGUUUGCAAAGGUGCAGAUUAGUGUAUCUGCUCCUAUCAUACCCUUCCGAGAGACCAUAACAAGACCUCCCAAAGUCGAUAUGGUGAAUGAAGAAAUAGGAAAACAGCAGAAAGUUGCUGUCAUACACCAAACAAAAGAGGACCAAAAUAAAAUUCCUGAAGGAAUUCAGGUUGAUUCAGAUGGGCUUGUUACAAUUAAUACUCCAAAUAAACAAGCUACUCUCAGUGUAAGAGCAAUGCCACUUCCUGAGGAGGUAACUCGACUUCUUGAAGAAAACAGUGAUUUAAUUCGAACUAUGGAACAACUCAACACAUCUCUGAAUGAAGAUAAAAAAACACAUGAGAUCAAUCAGAAGACUCUUGAUAGAAUCAAAGAAUUCAAACAGAAGUUGGAGAAAAGUCUUCAGGGAAGAAAGUGGAGAAAUGCUGUUGAUCAGAUCUGGUCGUUUGGACCGCGGAAGUGUGGGCCUAAUAUUUUGUUACAUAAUUUUGGGGGCUAUAAAAGGUCUGUGUGGCAGUGCCUUGGGAGCUCUGUGAAAGAAGUAGGUAAAUACAGAGACUUUGACAACAGCAUAAUAAGUGGAUUUCAGCUGGCUACACUUUCAGGUCCCAUGUGUGAAGAGCCUCUCAUGGGUGUUUGUUUUACGGUGGAAAAAUGGGAGAUAAGUAAAGCUGGAGAUACGCUGUCAAACAGUAGGCAGGAUUCAGGGGAGCUUGAUGCCACAGAACAUCAGCAAAAUGAAGAUGAUACUCCAGCAAGCAGUUGCACUGAUGAAGGUCCUGGUGCAAAUGAGCACCAGGACAGGAACCAAAGUGGCACAGACUCACCUGAGAAAAUGAGUAAACACAAAGGAGAAUUACUGCUUGCAGAUUGUUAUGGCCCUUUCUCUGGGCAGCUGAUUGCCACCAUGAAGGAAGCCUGUCGUUACGCUUUGCAGGCAAAACCACAGAGACUCAUGGCAGCAAUGUACACGUGUGAAAUCAUGGCUACUGCAGAAGUUUUAGGAUGUGAAUACGUUGGUGAGCUGAUCAGAAUUGUGUCUCUGCAGGUCGUGUGUAUGCUGUGCUGUCCAAAAGGGAAGGCAGAGUGCUACAGGAGGAGAUGAAAGAGGGGACGGAUGUGUUUAUUAUUAAGGCAGUUCUGCCAGUAGCAGAAAGCUUUGGCUUUGCUGAUGAAAUCAGGAAGAGAACCAGUGGCCUGGCCAGUCCACAGCUGGUGUUCAGCCACUGGGAGAUCAUUUCGAGUGACCCGUUCUGGGUCCCAACGACUGAGGAGGAAUAUUUGCACUUUGGGGAGAAGGCAGACUCGGAGAACCAGGCCCGCAAGUACAUGAAUGCAGUGAGAAAGAGAAAGGGGCUGUAUGUGGAAGAAAAAAUCGUGGAGCACGCUGAGAAGCAAAGAACUCUCAGCAGGAAUAAGUAACUGUGUCUGCCCCCUUUGUGUCCUGAUGCAGCUAAGUGCGGGUGGAGUAUUUUAUAUGCAGCAGAUGCAAAAUUUCAUCUGGACUUUGUUCUUUGAUACCAUUUUUUCUUACAUGCUUUGUCUGUGGCUUAUGUUUUAAUAGACUUAAGCCUUUCCAACUUUUGUACAGAGAAAAUAGUUUAUUUAUUGAAAUAAAAUAGAGGUGUAUUCACUGCAAUUGGUCUCAGUUUUUAAAAUUUAAUGCCCUAUUGAACGUCCUGUCACAAGGAUUAGGAACUCCCAAUUCAAUUUGUUUCUUUCUGAUUUGUCACAUGUAGUUACAGUAAGAGCUGGUUAGCUAGCUUCUUGCAAAUAAACCAUGCACUUAAUUUAGCUCUUUAAUGGUUCUGACUGUUUAUUAAAUUAAUUUCUGUAAUUUUUUCUUACCCAUACUUUUCAUAGUUACUUAUAUGUAAAUAGAUGUAAGCCUAUUAGGAAUUUCUAAACUAUCUGUUUUACUCCAUUCCUCAUGUAAGCAGUUAUUUAAAGCAGUAAUACUCUUCUUUAAAUCAGAGGGCAAGAAUAGCAUUGUGUGGAAGACAGCACUGCAAAGAGUUGUGCAAGAUUUGUCUCAUUUUCCCUCCUUACAACACACCUUAUUAAAAACUUCAGUUUCCACAGACUAGGUGAGGGGAGUAUCUCCACUAUAAAUGAGAAACUGGACAUCCAUUUUCUUCCACUACUUUAAGCAGGAAAUAAAGUACAUUGUACUUGAAAAUUCUGGAAGUAAAACAGCACUCUUGAUGAGAGAGGGCUUCCUCAAGUCUAUCUGUCUGAAACAUUUUUUCAUUUUUAAACCUAGUGCCAGACAAGUGCCUUUUACAGAUGGGACUAGAAGCUUGCAGGUCUGGUUAAAACCUCCCACAGUGAGACUUGGCAGCAGAACUUGAAUUGGGAGCUCAAGUGACUUUUCUCCUGGCCUUGAUCAUAUCAACCUAAAUUCUUCAGGGAAGGUUUGCUCCCCACCAUGAGGAGGAGAGGAAUUCAGUACUGUUACAAGAUUUUUUUCUUGAAGUGGCCACAGAGCACAGCUAAAAUCUGCAUCCUCUCAGGUGGAAUUAUAAAUGGAAGGCAGAUUGUUCAUCAUCAUCAGUUCAGUGCUGGUUUUUUCCCAUCUGUGGAAAGUUCUUUCCAGAAUUUUUCAUAUGGUUCUUUUGCACUGUAAUAAGUAAGGUAAUGAAUAAAUCCCUGUUACAUCACU